rnacentral:lncRNA from 1 species
GAUGAAGACUUUCCCCUGAAGGUUAUUUCUAAUGCAAGAUUUUGGCUUAAUCUCAUCGAGGUCAACUUCCUGAAAAAGAGUUCUGCUGGAGUGGAGCUGAGAGAGGCUCUUGGGAGCUGCCUGCGUGGGCAGAGUUUGAAGGCUUAGGAUAUCUCCUGAAGGCCGGAUGGGCCAGUAGAGAUCAAUGAGGCUUGAGCUGUCUUGAAAGAUGGCUGCCCUGAGAACUGGCUAGAAAAGGAGACCAAGGAGGCUGUGUGGGUCACCCUUGCUUUGGAGAUGAGGGGAGUCAUGAGAGAUCAGUGGGGAGCCCAUUGCCCUGUUGGGGAACUGCCUGGUGGAGCUUUCCCAGGGAUAUUUUAAAGAACCUACAUGGGAGAAAGCCUGCAUUUGGACAUCUUCCAGGCCAUUCAAUAGCCAAAGAGAACCACCAACAGCUUGAACCCUCAAAAUAGGCUGAAUGAAAAGAGGUUGAUGUACCUGGCUGAAGCCUGGCCCCCAGUCACCCACUGAUGGCAGCUGCAAAGGUGCCCGUGAUGAGGAAUAAGAUAUCACUGGCCAGGGACCACUUCUCUGAA